CGGGAGGUGGCGCAGCCAGGUAGCGCACCACGUUUGGGACGUGGGGGUCGCGGGUUCGAAUCCCGUCCUCCCGAC
rnacentral:tRNA from 1 species